AGAGAGAAGUGGGAAGAGGAAUAGUACUGUAGAAAGAAUAGUGAUUUGCUGGCAUUUUUGUAAUUUUAUGUUAUUUGGAGGCUGAUUUGAAACUAUUGAUUAAUCUCACCAUUUUCUCCUCAUAGCCGAUAAGAUCAGCUUUCUGUUUCUUCCUUUUUACUUUCUAUUCUAUGGUUUCUCUUCUCUCUUUAGAAAUUCUACUCCAAGAAAUCAAAUCUUCUUCAAAUUAUCGGUGCAAAGUCAGAUCAAAAUCAACCCACUUGAGAAAGCCAUUACAGCAACAAAACCAAAUACAAUCAUGUCUAGGUUUCUGGUGUUGAUGGUGCUGAUCGGAGGCGGCUUUCUUGGCUUCUGGUUAUCGGAGAAGGAUGGUAGACAAUGGGGAACGGCGAGUCUUGGCUGAGUUAGAGCGAGUUGGGGCUGAGUUAAUUGGGUUAUUGUCUGCUUGACUGCUGAUUGAGAAUUGUGGGUCGACGAUUUGGAACGACGGUGAGGUGUAGUCGAAUAGCGGUUAUGAUGUACUUACUAUUGCGAACAUGAAGUGCAGAGAGAGAUGAUCGAAAGUGUGAGUGGAGGAGAUGAGAAAAUGGAGAGAGCGAUGGAACAGGGGCAGUAUAUUGUGAGGGAUUUUGACUCUCUAUUUUUAAUUGAUAAUAAUGGAAUAUAUAGUUGGACUGGAUCAUGAUAUAUAGUUGGGUUUGAUGAUGAGGAUUGGGCAUUAAUCAUU